rnacentral:rRNA from 1 species
ACGCUCGACACCUACGGGAGGUAGCAGUGGGGAAUAUUGCACAAUGGGGGAAACCCUGAUGCAGCGACGCCGCGUGAGCGAAGAAGUAUUUCGGUAUGUAAAGCUCUAUCAGCAGGGAAGAAAGUGACGGUACCUGACUAAGAAGCACCGGCUAAAUACGUGCCAGCAGCCGCGGUAAUCUGAGCGGCUGGCAAGGC